rnacentral:rRNA from 2 species
AUUAAAUGAGAGUUUGAUCCUGGCUCAGGACGAACGCUGGCGGCGUGCCUAAUACAUGCAAGUAGAACGCUGAAGACUUUAGCUUGCUAAAGUUGGAAGAGUUGCGAACGGGUGAGUAACGCGUAGGUAACCUGCCUACUAGCGGGGGAUAACUAUUGGAAACGAUAGCUAAUACCGCAUAACAGCAUUUAAC